rnacentral:rRNA from 1 species
UACGUAGGCAGCAAGCGUUGUUCGGAAUUACUGGGCGUAAAGGAGUGUGUGAGGCGGUUGUUCUAAGGUCAUGUUGUGAAAUCUCCCGGCUCAACUGGGAGGGUGCGGCGGAGACUGGAAUGCGUAGAGUAUGGGAGAGGUAAGCGGAAUUCCUGGUGUAGCGGUGAAAUGCGUAGAUAUCAGGAGAACACCUGUGGUGUAGACAGCUUACUGGACCAGACUGACGCUGGAGACAUGGAAAGCGUGGGUAGCAAACAGG